GCCCCUACCGCUCCCUCCGAACUCGGCAGGCUGGUAGUAAUGCGAGGAGCUGGCGAGUGUCUGGAUUGUAAUGAAGUUUAAAGGGCUCCUAGUAGUGCUAAAUCACCAUGGCAACAUCCCCAUCAAAAGAUCCUCGGGCCACGGCUGCAUUUAUUGCCAGAAAUGAAGCACUAGGAAUGCAUAUGGAAGACAGGCUGGAUUCGAUACAAAGGAGGAACCAGAGACCAGAAGAAGAUGCAAAAGGAGAGAUGGGCUUCAGGGGCCCAGAACCAUGCUCAGAAAGAUGUUCACCACUGCUAAACACAAAGCACUCCAACCAAAGUUACAACUUUGUUUUGACUCCAAGGCUUACAUCAUUAUGCCAAGGAAAAUAAAUGACUUUUCCCUACUAUACCUUUAGUACCAAUUUUCCUCAAUAGGAAAAAAAUCUUAACAUUUUGAUGUUCAAAC